rnacentral:rRNA from 1 species
GACAGAGGGUGCAAACGUUGUUCGGAAUUACUGGGCGUAAAGCGCGUGUAGGCGGCCCUGCAAGUCGGGUGUGAAAUCCCACGGCUCAACCGUGGAAGUGCACUCGAAACUGCAGGGCUAGAGUCCUGGAGAGGAAGGUGGAAUGCUUGGUGUAGAGGUGAAAUUCGUAGAUAUCAAGCGGAACACCGGUGGCGAAGGCGGCCUUCUGGACAGUGACUGACGCUGAGACGCGAAAAGCGUGGGGGAGCAAACAGG